UUUUAUUUCCGUUGAAUCCUCAAUCUCUAAUUUGAAUUCUUAUACUUUUUCCAAACAAAUUGGACACUCCUAGCCUUUUAUGUAGCCAACCCUAGCUCACGGUACAUACAGGCAUUGUUGAAUAGGUUCAGAUUUUUUGAUUCAAUUUUUAGCAGAUCUUUUUUGUCCAUUCGAAUCAUCAAUCUCUAACUUGAAUUCAAAUACUUUUUCCAAUCAAAUU
rnacentral:lncRNA from 1 species